UACGUAGGGUGCAAGCGUUAAUCGGAAUUACUGGGCGUAAAGCGUGCGCAGGCGGUUCGCUAAGACAGAUGUGUAAUCCCCGGGCUUAACCUGGGAACUGCAUUUGUGACUGGCGGGCUAGAGUAUGGCAGAGGGGGGUAGAAUUCCACGUGUAGCAGUGAAAUGCGUAGAGAUGUGGAGGAACACCGAUGGCGAAGGCAGCCCCCUGGGCCAACACUGACGCUCAGGCACGAAAGCGUGGGGAGCAAACAGG
rnacentral:rRNA from 1 species